AACGAACGCUGGCGGCAUGCCUAACACAUGCAAGUCGAACGAGACCUUCGGGUCUAGUGGCGCACGGGUGCGUAACGCGUGGGAACCUGCCCUUAGGUUCGGAAUAACUCCCCGAAAGGGGUGCUAAUACCGGAUAAUGUCUUCGGACCAAAGAUUUAUCGCCUUUGGAUGGGCCCGCGUUGGAUUAGCUAGUUGGUAGGGUAAAAGCCUACCAAGGCGACGAUCCAUAGCUGGUCUGAGAGGAUGAUCAGCCACACUGGGACUGAGACACGGCCCAGACUCCUACGGGAGGCAGCAGUGGGGAAUAUUGGACAAUGGGCGAAAGCCUGAUCCAGCAAUGCCGCGUGAGUGAUGAAGGCCUUAGGGUCGUAAAGCUCUUUUACCCGGGAUGAUAAUGACAGUACCGGGAGAAUAAGCGCCGGCUAACUCCGUG
rnacentral:rRNA from 1 species